AGCGCAGGCGGAGAAGCAAGUCAGUGGUGAAAACGAUGGGCUUAACUCAUCGACUGCCAUUGAAACUGUUUCCCUUGAGUGAAGUAGAGGCAGGCGGAAUUCCGAGUGUAGCGGUGAAAUGCGUAGAUAUUCGGAGGAACACCAGUGGCGAAGGCGGCCUGCUGGGCUUUAACUGACGCUGAGGCUCGAAAGUGUGGGAGCAAACA
rnacentral:rRNA from 1 species